rnacentral:rRNA from 1 species
GACGAACGCUGGCGGCGUGCCUAAUACAUGCAAGUCGAGCGGACCGGAUUGGGGCUUGCCUUGAUUCGGUCAGCGGCGGACGGGUGAGUAACACGUGGGCAACCUGCCCGCAAGACCGGGAUAACUCCGGGAAACCGGAGCUAAUACCGGAUAACACCGAAGACCGCAUGGUCUUCGGUUGAAAGGCGGCCUUUGGGCUGUCACUUGCGGAUGGGCCCGCGGCGCAUUAGCUAGUUGGUGAGGUAACGGCUCACCAAGGCGACGAUGCGUAGCCGGCCUGAGAGGGUGACCGGCCACGCUGGGACUGAGACACGGCCCAGACUCCUACGGGAGGCAGCAGUAGGGAAUCUUCCGCAAUGGGCGAAAGCCUGACGGAGCGACGCCGCGUGAGCGAAGAAGGCCGUCGAGUCGUAAAGCUCUGUUGUGAGGGACGAAGGAGCGUCGUUCGAAGAGGGCGGCGCGGUGACGGUACCUCACGAGAAAGCCCCGGCUAACUACGUG